GAUGAACGCUGGCGGCGUGCCUAAUACAUGCAAGUCGAGCGAAUGGAUUAAGAGCUUGCUCUUAUGAAGUUAGCGGCGGACGGGUGAGUAACACGUGGGUAACCUGCCCAUAAGACUGGGAUAACUCCGGGAAACCGGGGCUAAUACCGGAUAAUAUUUUGAACUGCAUGGUUCAAAAUUGAAAGGCGGCUUCGGCUGUCACUUAUGGAUGGACCCGCGUCGCAUUAGCUAGUUGGUGAGGUAACGGCUCACCAAGGCAACGAUGCGUAGCCGACCUGGGGGGGUGAUCGGCCACACUGGGACUGAGACACGGCCAAGACUCCUACGGGAGGCAGCAGUAGGGAAUCUUCCGCAAUGGACGAAAGUCUGACGGAGCAACGCCGCGUAAGUGAUGAAGGCUUUCGGGUCGUAAAACUCUGUUGUUAGGGAAGAACAAGUGCUAGUUGAAUAAGCUGGCACCUUGACGGUACCUAACCAGAAAGCCACGGCUAACUACGUGCCAGCCGCCGCCGUAA
rnacentral:rRNA from 1 species